rfam:Bombyx mori DNA, contig: Bm_scaf99_contig35856, strain: p50T/Dazao, build 2, whole genome shotgun sequence.
UUAACUCAGAUUUGUAUGGAGUGGAACAGUCUCCCUACGUUUGCCGCUAGUGGCUCUGUUCCAACUCCAUACAAAUCUGAGUUA